rnacentral:rRNA from 1 species
UAAACGAUGGGCACUAGGUGUGGGGAGGAAUUCUCUCCGUGCCGCAGCUAACGCAUUAAGUGCCCCGCCUGGGGAGUACGGCCGCAAGGCUAAAACUCAAAGGAAUUGACGGGGGCCCGCACAAGCAGCGGAGCAUGUGGAUUAAUUCGAAGCAACGCGAAGAACCUUACCAGGGCUUGACAUAUAGGUGAGCCUGUAGAAAUACAGGGGCCGAAAGGAGCCUAUACAGGUGGUGCAUGGCUGUCGUCAG